AGCAUGCAGCCCCCACCCCGUUUCUUCCUAAACACAAUACACACACAAAACAAAGAAAGAAACGCAGAGAUGGAGAGGAAGAAGAGAGAGCUCAGAAUCGGAGGGGAAGGAGCCGCACUCUACACUGUCCAAUUCAUCGCCACCGCCGCACCUCGUCUGCGCCGUCACCAUCACUCCAUGGAGCUGCCACCGUCAUCCACGCGUUGCUGAGGGAAGCCCGAGACAGAAGAUGAGGGAGACGCGAGCCAAGGACCGUGAUGAGGAGAAGCUGUUGUCGUCAAGCCACCCGUCGCCGCCACUGGAGGAGUUUCAUGCGUCGCCGUCACCACCGUUGCUAGUGUGGUCGGAGCCGCCAUCACUGGAGAGAGAGAAAGCGCGAAUCUGAGGAGGGAGAGAGAGAUACGAUGCAACAGAGGAGGAAGGAGAAGUCUUCUGUCAUCACCGCCAUGUCUCUUUACCGCCGCUACCGUCGAUAGAAGUCGUCGCCGUCGCCAAGCCGCUGCAUCGCCGGACAUUAUCACUGGAGGACUGAAUGGAGAAGCUCGCCAGUUCUGCAUCUGCCUCUGGUUUCUGGAAUCCGAGAAGACGCUACCGCUGUUGCUAGAAUUGUUAUUGUUGCUCUGGCCCUGCUCUGGCUCCACUCUGAAUCAUUACCGUUGCUAUUUGGCUGAUGCUGAGGCCUUCCACCAUCACUGGAGCUUCCCAGAAUCAUCGUGGUUGCUGCCAAGAGAGCUGAAUGGGUGCUGGAAACUGCUAACGGAGCUACCAUGUUUGAUUAUUUCUUCGAGUUGCGACAUCGAGUGACACAGGUUCGAAGACUCAGUUUGAAGCUGCGGACGAUUGUUGGACUAUAUUUAUGAAUUAGCCGCUUUAUCUGGAGUGGAGAGACGCCCGACAGACGGACGUCUGUCUUCAUUAGCAAGCAGCCAUUCCUGGCAUACCGCGACUAUGAGGGACUGCCACAGAAGAAGAGGAAGACGACUGAGCCUCCAUCAUCAGCAGAGGCCUCAGCACCUCCUGCACCUCCUGUACCUACACCCCGACCUCAGACGCCUUAUGAGCAAGGUCGGGAGAUCAUUCAGAUCUUCCAUCGCUACGAGCGCCGCGACGCUCGCCGCUUCCAGUGGAUUGAUGAAUCCACAUUUCAUGAUAUUUAUUUGCUCUAUUUGGGUAGAUUUCAUCAACUUUUCUUGCAUUUAUCCAUUAAAAUAGCAUAGUUUCAUGAAUUCUUCCUAAUUUGUGCUUGAAAGUAAAAAUAUGCUUUUUAGGCCUUUUAAUUGCUAAAUUUUAUUUACAUUAAUCCCACUUGGUGUCUUGAUAUAUUUUUUGAGUGAUUUUAGGUUUCCAAGGCAAGUAUAAGUUGAAGAAGUGAGAAAAAGAGCAUGCAAAAGGGAAGAAAUCAUGAAGGAAAUAGAAUUUGGGAAGCUGCCAAUCCUGACCUCUCUGUACUAAAUUGGUCAUAACUUGAGAUACAAGGGUCCAAAUGAGGCGGUAUCAGCGGUAUUGGAAAGCCAACGUCCGGAGCUUCAAAAUGAUAUGCAAUUUGCUAUAGUGGACAUAAGUCUAAGUGUGCGUAGGCAUAGGUACUUGUGCAUACGCACAAGUUGGGAUUCAGCAUGUGUGCGUACGCAGACACCUGUGCGUAUGCACAAAUCCUGGUACAUGACCUCAUUAAUUACAACUCACUGGCAGCGAUUUUUGGGCCCCCAAAAUCCAAUCCAACUCAUUUCUGAAGCUAUUUCAAGCCAAAUUGAAGAAGGAUGAAGGGGGAGCACUUAGAUUUAGGUUUUUACAUAUUUUUGUUUAGUUUUUCUAGAGAGAGAAGCUCACCCUUCUCUUUAGAAUUAGGGUCUUCUUAGUUUAAUUUCUUACAAUUUUUACUUUUAAUUCUUGUUUUGAUGUAGCUUCAUUUAUGUUUUCAUGUUCUUUUA